rnacentral:rRNA from 1 species
UACGAAGGGGGCUAGCGUUGCUCGGAAUGACUGGGCGUAAAGGGCGCGUAGGCGGUUUUGGCAGUCAGAUGUGAAAUUCCUGGGCUCAACCUGGGGACUGCAUUUGAUACGCCCGGACUUGAGUGGGGAAGAGGGUCGUGGAAUUCCCAGUGUAGAGGUGAAAUUCGUAGAUAUUGGGAAGAACACCGGUGGCGAAGGCGGCGACCUGGACGAGGCACUGACACUCAACUACGAAAGCGUGGGGAGCAAACAGG